AGAGUUUGAUCCUGGCUCAGGAUGAACGCUACUGCCUUACAAUGCAAGUCGAACGGCAGCGCGGACUUCGGUCUGGCGGCGAGUGGCGAACGGGUGAGUAAUGUAUCGGAACGUACCUUUCAGUGGGGGAUAACGUAGCGAAAGUUACGCUAAUACCGCAUAUUCUGUGAGCAGGAAAGCAGGGGAUCGCAAGACCUUGCGCUGAUUGAGCGGCCGAUAUCAGAUUAGCUAGUUGGUGAGGUAAAGGCUCACCAAGGCGACGAUCUGUAGCGGGUCUGAGAGGAUGAUCCGCCACACUGGAACUGAGACACGGUCCAGACUCCUACGGGAGGCAGCAGUGGGGAAUUUUGGACAAUGGGGGCAACCCUGAUCCAGCCAUGCCGCGUGAGUGAAGAAGGCCUUCGGGUUGUAAAGCUCUUUCGGCCGGGAAGAAAUCGUACGGGUUAAUACCCUGUGCGGAUGACGGUACCGGCAUAAGAAGCACCGGCUAACUACGUGCCAGCAGCCGCGGUAAUACGUAGGGUGCGAGCGUUAAUCGGAAUUACUGGGCGUAAAGCGUGCGCAGGCGGUUUUGUAAGACAGGCGUGAAAUCCCCGGGCUCAACCUGGGAACUGCGCUUGUGACUGCAAGGCUAGAGUAUGGCAGAGGGGGGUGGAAUUCCACGUGUAGCAGUGAAAUGCGUAGAGAUGUGGAGGAACACCAAUGGCGAAGGCAGCCCCCUGGGCCAAUACUGACGCUCAUGCACGAAAGCGUGGGUAGCAAACAGGAUUAGAUACCCUGGUAGUCCACGCCCUAAACGAUGUCAACUAGGUGUUGGGUGGGUAAAACCAUUUAGUACCGUAGCUAACGCGUGAAGUUGACCGCCUGGGGAGUACGGGCCGCAAGGUUAAAACUCAAAGGAAUUGACGGGGACCCGCACAAGCGGUGGAUGAUGUGGAUUAAUUCGAUGCAACGCGAAAA
rnacentral:rRNA from 1 species